rnacentral:rRNA from 1 species
GCAAGUCGAGCGGUAACAGAAAGUAGCUUGCUACUUUGCUGACGAGCGGCGGACGGGUGAGUAAUGCUUGGGAACAUGCCUUGAGGUGGGGGACAACAGUUGGAAACGACUGCUAAUACCGCAUAAUGUCUACGGACCAAAGGGGGCUUCGGCUCUCGCCUUUAGAUUGGCCCAAGUGGGAUUAGCUAGUUGGUGAGGUAAUGGCUCACCAAGGCGACGAUCCCUAGCUGGUUUGAGAGGAUGAUCAGCCACACUGGGACUGAGACACGGCCCAGACUCCUACGGGAGGCAGCAGUGGGGAAUAUUGCACAAUGGGCGCAAGCCUGAUGCAGCCAUGCCGCGUGUGUGAAGAAGGCCUUCGGGUUGUAAAGCACUUUCAGUCAGGAGGAAAGGUUAGUAGUUAAUACCUGCUAGCUGUGACGUUACUGACAGAAGAAGCACCGGCUAACUCCGUGCCAGCAGCCGCGGUAAUACGGAGGGUGCGAGCGUUAAUCGGAAUUACUGGGCGUAAAGCGUACGCAGGCGGUUUGUUAAGCGAGAUGUGAAAGCCCCGGGCUCAAC